GACGAACGCUGGCGGCGUGCUUAACACAUGCAAGUCGGACGAGUGGCGGACGGGUGAGUAAUGCUUGGGAAUCUGGCUUAUGGAGGGGGAUAACGACGGGAAACUGUCGCUAAUACCGCGUACCAUAGGAUGAGCCCAAGUGGGAUUAGGUAGUUGGUGGGGUAAUGGCCUACCAAGCCGACGAUCUCUAGCUGGUCUGAGAGGAUGACCAGCCACACCGUGACUGAGACACGGCCCGGACUCCGACGGGAGGCAGCAGUGGGGAAUAUUGCGCAAUGGGGGCAACCUGACGCAGCCAUGCCGCGUGAAUGAAGAAGGCCUUCGGGUUGUAAAGUUCUUUCGGUGACGAGGCGUUAAUCACAGAAGAAGCACCGGCUAACUCCGUGCCAGCAGCCGCGGUAAUAC
rnacentral:rRNA from 1 species